rnacentral:lncRNA from 1 species
UUGGUUUAUUCAUUUACAAUCGCGAUUUGAGCAAUGGAAGUCGCGCAUUAUCGUCUGGUGUUGAUGUAGGCCUAUGCGCGCCUGUCGCCCGGUAGGUAGACUGGUCGCCUCAGUUAAGCCAUGUCCUCUCAAACAGAGACAUUUCUGUCAGUUCAUACUGGCACCUGUCCACUCUGGUCUUCAGUCAUCAUCUGGGACCAUUGUUUUGCGCUAUCUCUCCAGGCUGCAUGUUCAAGAGGCUUUAGCGCUCAAUUUACUAAUUUCCUGCCCACUGCGAUAUCGUCACUCGUGCCUACCUCUUUUGGGCUGCGGAGUGGUUGUUAAAGAAGUCAAUCAGAAAAAAAGGACGCGUGUUUGGGUUUUUCAGAACUCAAGCUCAGAAAACUCAUAAAAAAUUGCGGCUGAAACAAGAAAGGAUGCGGUCGGUAAAUGCGCACGUUCCAAACUUCCUGACGCAGACGCUGAUGCUCAUCGCUCAUUCCAAAUCUAAUCUGUUCUUUCUUGGCCUCAAAAGUUUAUCAAGGUAAGAGUCAACAAUAAACUUUGUUGAAUUAUCUUAGAAAAGUUCCUUAUGUCAUGAGUGAAACUUAGUUUCCCACUCAUCUAAAUGCUGAUUGUAUUUUCUUUUAAAGCGCAGUGGGAAGAUAGAAAGAAGAUCAAUAAAGCAGCUACGUUGUUCAAUCGCUGUGAUUAGGAUCUCGGCAAUGCCACAUACGUUAUUAAAAUUACUUAUCUUCACGCAGGUAGGAGAACAGACUGGGUUUCGCUGCGAAGGGUGGACAUGCACACAGGAAAAUCGGAGCUCCAAAUGCAGAAGACGUCUGCACUCUUUGGGAUGGUCAGUCACCAUCAAGCCCCAGCGUUCACGGACUUUGCAGGGCUGACCAUCUCCAUGUUCAACAGUAAAUCAGACAUCACGUCCAGGCGCCCUGGGAAUGACGACUGUGGAGCCCAGCAACGCCGAAGCCCUGAUCAUAACCCAGAUCAUAUGCACGGUCCCAGCCCCAUGCGAGUGGCUGUCCCGGCAGAGCGCUUUGGAGCUCAGGAGAAACCUCAGGCGCACCAGGCGUCUAAAGGACAUACAGCAUACUUUCCCCUCUCCGCUGCACAAGUGAAUGGAUUAUGCGGCGUGUUCUGCCCAGAGAAAGGAAACGGGCU